rnacentral:rRNA from 1 species
AACGAACGCUGGCGGCAUGCCUAACACAUGCAAGUCGAACGAGACCUUCGGGUCUAGUGGCGCACGGGUGCGUAACGCGUGGGAAUCUGCCCUUGGGUUCGGGAUAACAGUUGGAAACGACUGCUAAUACCGGAUGAUGACUUCGGUCCAAAGAUUUAUCGCCCAGGGAUGAGCCCGCGUAGGAUUAGCUAGUCGGUGAGGUAAAGGCUCACCAAGGCGACGAUCCUCAGCUGGUCUGAGAGGAUGAUCAGCCACACUGGGACUGAGACACGGCCCAGACUCCUACGGGAGGCAGCAGUGGGGAAUAUUGGACAAUGGGCGAAAGCCUGAUCCAGCAAUGCCGCGUGAGUGAUGAAGGCCUUAGGGUUGUAAAGCUCUUUUACCCGGGAUGAUAAUGACAGUACCGGGAGAAUAAGCCCCGGCUAACUCCGUGCCAGCCGCCGCUGUAA